GAUGAACGCUGGCGGCGUGCCUAAUACAUGCAAGUCGAGCGAACAGAUGAGGAGCUUGCUCCUCUGACGUUAGCGGCGGACGGGUGAGUAACACGUGGAUAACCUACCUAUAAGACUGGGAUAACUUCGGGAAACCGGAGCUAAUACCGGAUAAUAUAUUGAACCGCAUGGUUCAAUAGUGAAAGACGGUUUUGCUGUCACUUAUAGAUGGAUCCGCGCCGCAUUAGCUAGUUGGUAAGGUAACGGCUUACCAAGGCAACGAUGCGUAGCCGACCUGAGAGGGGGAUCCGCCACACUGGAAAUGGGAAACGGGCCAAGACCCCACGGGGGGGAGGCGUGGGGAAUUUUUCCGAAAGGGGGGAAACCUGAACGGGCCAACCCGGGGGGGGGAAGAAAGGUUUUGGGUUGGAAAAACCUUUUUUUGGGGAAAAAAAAAAGGUGUAAAAAACUAUGCCGGUCUGAAGGUACCCAAAUAAGAAGCCCCGGCUAACUUCGUG
rnacentral:rRNA from 1 species